AGCAGCCGCGGUAAUUCCAGCUCCAAUAGCGUAUAUUAAAGUUGUUGCAGUUAAAAAGCUCGUAGUUGAAUUUCGAGAUCAAAUUGUUGGUCGUGCCUCGGUACGUACUGGCAUUAUUGAUUUCUCCCUUCUGAAGAACCACGAUGUCAUUAAUUUGGUGUCGUGGGGAAUCAGGACUGUUACUUUGAAAAAAUUAGAGUGUUUAAAGCAGGCUCGCGCUUGAAUACAUUAGCAUGGAAUAAUGAAAUAGGACGUUUGAUUCUAUUUUGUUGGUUUCUAGGAUCGACGUAAUGAUUAAUAGGGAUAGUUGGGGGCAUUAGUAUUCAAUUGUCAGAGGUGAAAUUCUUGGAUUUAUUGAAGACUAACUACUGCGAAAGCAUUUGCCAAGGAUGUUUUCAUUAAUCAAGAACGAAAGUUAGGGGAUCGAAGACGAUCAGAUACCGUCGUAGUCUUAACCAUAAACUAUGCCGACUAGGGAUCGGAUGAUGUAAUUUUUAAUGACUCAUUCGGCGU
rnacentral:rRNA from 1 species